rnacentral:miRNA from 1 species
CACUCAGGGAUCUGGUUAAAAUGCAUAGGCCCCAUAGGUCUAGGGCCUGAAAUUCUGCAUUUCUAACAAGCUCCCCGGGGAUG